CCGUGAAGAUCGGCACACUGUUCCUGCGGUUAACAGAUAUUGACGCUGAUCGCAUUCUUCUUCCAGUUUCAGUCAACGUUAAAAUGAAGGUUCUGUGCGUAGUUGUACUUUGCCUCGCCGCAACAUUCGCCUCCGACAAGUCCAGACCACAUUUUUGAUCGCAGAAGGGACGCAGAAAUGACGCCGUCCAGCAUGAAUGGGCCUCAAGGUCGCAGGAUAAAAAUGAUUGAAGAGCAGGAGCAAUAAGUUUCUUUGACAAAAAAA